AUGCUCUACUCUAGCCCAGAUGGAAUCUACAGUAUCUGGUGGAAUGAAGGCAACAAAAAUGUACUUGACAGCAGAGACCUGGUGUUCGUCUGCCUACAGGUUGCCACUUGGGCAAAUUUUCAGCUUGUUCCUGUCAAAAGGAUGUACUAUUUUCAGGAAAAAUGCUUGCUGACCAGCCAAGAAUAAAACACAUCUCACAUGGUACAAUCUUCUUUUACCUCCCAGAUGACUCUAAUGCCACUUACUAAGGAUGCCAGAAGAGGUUUCCUGAGGAAGUAACAAUCAAUGUGAAUUAAUACCAUCCUGACAUUCAGCAGACCCAAAUAAAACACGACUAUAUUUAAAAGAAUGGAAAAUAAAAAGAUUAUCCUCAAAAAUAACUUAGUGUGCAAUUUCUUGCCAUAUAAAAGGAAGCUCUGGUAUGGAAAAAUGAUAAACAUCCUGCAUUUGUUAAUAAAGGAAGCAUUACAUUCAGUUUGGUAACAGCAACUUUUUUAAAAGUGAUGAGUCACAAUAUUCAGUUCCUUCCUGGCGUUACUCAGCUACGUGUGGGUAAAAGAGGAUAGUACUGGGAACUAGGCUCUCUGUAUCCCAACCAAGGCCACUAAGACAUUGCAGGGAUUUGAGCAAGAAAACAAGCCUGGCUAGACUUCAGUAACUCCUCUGUAAAACCAGGGGGUGAGAAGAUAAGCGAAUUUGAGAAUCUCUUCCAUUUCCAAUUGGCUACAGUUCCAUUGUCUUAAAUAUUUUACUGAUUAUGUAUACUAGUAAAUACAUGGUUAAUAAUCAUCUUUCUAAAGCUGCAAAAAAGUCAUUUCUUUUCAUUAUUCAAACUGAAUACACUAGAACUAAUAUGUUAUGAAUUUUCUAUAAUUAACAUUUUAUGAUCAAAAUUAUAAUACCUAUCCUAGUUCUAUUACUUUUAAAGAGCUCCAAAAGACAUACACAGUAACAUUCAGAUCAUUCUCUUUUCAUAAGUUUUUUGAUUGCUAAGCUAUCAAGAUGAAAAAUAAUCCCAUGAAAAUGUGCUUUCUUUUAAAUGAGUAAUAAGCACUACAAAAAUCCAGCUGAAUUCUUGCAGUAUAUGGUUUAGGACUCCAACAUACGAGAUUUCUUAAACUAUUUGACAUUGUUUUCAACACACACAAAAAAAGUUAGCAAAUGAAUACCACAGUCAAAUGUUAACUAUCUGCUAAGUGGGAUGGCAAGAGAGAACUAGUACACAUAACCUUAAAUUGUGGAGAGUUGGGGAAGACAUAUAAUUGGGCACUGGAAUGUGUCUUAUUCUUAUAUUUGAAUAAAACUAUAUCUGACGUUCUAAAAACUGACAAUACUGUACUUUCAACUGAGUAAACAAUGAAAACAUCCUAGGAAAAAGCAACUCAAGAGAACUAAAAAACAUUCUAGUUAGUAAAUAUUUUGGCUCACAUCUUAGAAAACAAGAACAAUAUGCAAUGUUUAAAAAGACAUUUUAAACUCUGCUAUGUUAGACUAGUGUGACAAAGUGAAUUACAAACAUUAAUACUGUCAUUAAAUAUUUAGAAAAAUUCUUGCAGAAUAGAUCUCUAAAAGGGGUCAUGUUGUAUAAACUCAAGACAGUAUUGUUAUCAAGUUUGCU
ensembl:lncRNA